GCGGCUCCGUUCCGUCGGGAUCGUGCGAGAGCGCGGCGCGCUGGCCCACUCCGUUAGCGGGAGGGAAGCUAUCCACAAAAUCGGAGGAAACGAAGCUGGCAGAGAGCCAAUAAUAAGCACUUCAUGAAUGCUGGCAACAUCCCACAAACAUUGCAAAGGAUGACUAAUAGAUUUGAAUUCUGAAUACCAGAUCCCUCGGUGUUGACCACAUGACUACAACACAGCAGCAAGAGAGACUGGCAUUUUGACCCAGAGGACUUCAGGUCACUCUGGAGCCUCCCACUCCAUAAGUCCUGAGAACCUCCAGGAAGAUGUGGCAACAGUGAUGGACUGAAGACCAGGAAAGCCUGUAGGUAAUCUGCUGGAAAAGA